rnacentral:rRNA from 1 species
CAAGUCGAACGGUAACAGGCCUUCGGGCGCUGACGAGUGGCGAGCGGGUGAGUAAUGCAUCGGAACGUGCCCAGUCGUGGGGGAUAACUAUCCGAAAGGAUAGCUAAUACCGCAUACGAUCUGCGGAUGAAAGCGGGGGACCUUCGGGCCUCGCGCGAUUGGAGCGGCCGAUGUCAGAUUAGGUAGUUGGUGGGGUAAAGGCUCACCAAGCCAACGAUCUGUAGCUGGUCUGAGAGGACGACCAGCCACACUGGGACUGAGACACGGCCCAGACUCCUACGGGAGGCAGCAGUGGGGAAUUUUGGACAAUGGGCGCAAGCCUGAUCCAGCAAUGCCGCGUGCAGGAAGAAGGCCUUCGGGUUGUAAACUGCUUUUGUACGGAACGAAACGGCUCUGGUUAAUACCCGGGGCUAAUGACGGUACCGUAAGAAUAAGCACCGGCUAACUACGUGCCAGCAGCCGCGGUAAUACGUAGGGUGCAAGCGUUAAUCGGAAUUACUGGGCGUAAAGCGUGCGCAGGCGGUUUUGUAAGACAGGCGUGAAAUCCCCGGGCUCAACCUGGGAAUGGCGCUUGUGACUGCAAAGCUGGAGUGCGGCAGAGGGGGAUGGAAUUCCGCGUGUAGCAGUGAAAUGCGUAGAUAUGCGGAGGAACACCGAUGGCGAAGG